rnacentral:rRNA from 1 species
AUUGAACGCUGGCGGCAUGCCUAACACAUGCAAGUCGAACGGCAGCACGGGAGCUUGCUCCUGGUGGCGAGUGGCGGACGGGUGAGUAAUGCAUAGGAAUCUGCCCAGUAGCGGGGGACAACUUGGGGAAACUCAAGCUAAUACCGCAUGCGCCCUACGGGGGAAAGCGGGGGACCUUCGGGCCUCGCACUAUUGGAUGAGCCUAUGUCAGAUUAGCUUGUUGGUGGGGUAACGGCCUACCAAGGCGACGAUCUGUAGCUGGUCUGAGAGGACGAUCAGCCACACUGGGACUGAGACACGGCCCAGACUCCUACGGGAGGCAGCAGUGGGGAAUAUUGCACAAUGGGCGAAAGCCUGAUCCAGCCAUGCCGCGUGUGUGAAGAAGGCCUCGGUUGUAAGACGACUUCUAGCGAGGAGGAAGGUAGGUCGAGAUUAAUACCUACGU